UUGCACGCUAGUGCAUGAGGAAGGACAGGGUUUAUGUUUUACCUCUCCACACACCUUUCUUUUGCAAUGUAUGGGUUGUACGAACACUGUGCGCUGUUUGUUAAGCUGCAGCCGUUCAACCGGGCUUAUAUGGUUGGCGAAGAUGAGGUUUAUUAAAGGACACACUGUGGAAUUCCUAAUGCAGUGUGAAUGUGCAUUCUUUUGACUAGCCCUGCUAAGUGUUUUGCCGCCUCCUCUCAACCACUAAACACAACCCGACGUUACACCGCCUACAGGAUGGCUGACGGCUUCAUCCGAUGCAAAUGUAUUAGGAGGUGAAACUUUUUGGUACAGCCAUUUUUGCCGACUAUACUGCCGAACCCAGACAAACUGUUAGCAAUGGCAAUGGCACUGAAGUAGAGUCACCACCACUAGACCCCCCAGUCACAUCGGAGGUGUUGGAGGAGGAGCAGGAAAGUCAGAACGUGAUGGAGCAAGACGCAGCUGAGCUUCAAACACCUCGUCAGAAUCAGCGAAACUGUUGAUCUUGCCAGAUGUGCAGAUGCAUUUGCUAUUGGUGUGCGGGAGCAAUCCCAUCUAUCACAGGCAUAAAAGACAAAUGAAGUAGAAUUAUGUAACCCAUAUCAACUACACCCUGUCACAUGACCCACGUCAGCUGAUUUGAGGUCCCUCUCCUGAUUUGCUCCUUCCACGUCGCGGCAACUAUGAAAACCGGCUGUGGAGGGAUACUUUCGGGUUGGACUCCUGCUGUGGCUGUAUGCUAAUGGCGUUUAGAACGGCGUUGGAAAACAAAGUGUUUUCUCCCCUCAAUUCAUCUAUAAAAUCGUACCACCUCAGCGGUCAGGGUUUUUUUCCCCCCUUUGAAUUGAUCUUCUUCAUAUUGAAAUGGCGAGCCGGUAGGACCAUUCUUUGUUUUUGUUUUUUCCCCCCUCUUUCCCCCCCCACUUUGCUGUCUUUGGAUUACGGACAUAUUUCCCCAUUGUAUGAAGCUGGACCCUAACGAGGAAUACCUUAAAAGUGAACUUUAAAAAAGAAACUUUAACAAAGGACCAAAAGGACUCUUAACAAAAGGACUCUUGCACAGAAAAAUCACCACAUUGAUUUAUUAAUUAAUUGUGGACAUUUAUUUAUGUUGUGUGUUGUAUUAAUUAUUUUGUUCCAUUUCCCCUUUCCCCCAUUUAUUCAAUAUAUUUUUGGUACAAGAUAUUGCAGUCUUUGGUCUCGUCAUUCACACCAUCUAGGCUCCAUAAAGAACUAUUUCUUCUGCGCGUCAGUCAGUAAACUCACCCAUUGCAAUAAA
ensembl:lncRNA